GACGAACGCUGGCGGCGUGCUUAACACAUGCAAGUCGAACGGAAAGGCCCUGCUUUUGUGGGUGCUCGAGUGGCGAACGGGGGAGUAACCCGUGAGUAACCUGCCCUUGACGUUGGGAUAACUUCAGGAAACUGGGGCUAAUACCGGACAGGAGCUCCUGCUGCAUGGUGGGGGUUGGAAAGUUUCGGCGGUUGGGGAUGGACUCGCGGCUUAUCAGCUUGUUGGUGGGGUAGUGGCUUACCAAGGCUUUGACGGGUAGCCGGCCUGAGAGGGUGACCGGCCACAUUGGGACUGAGAUACGGCCCAGACGCCUACGGGAGGCAGCAGUGGGGAAUAUUGCACAAUGGGCGGAAGCCUGAUGCAGCAACGCCGGGUGCGGGAUGACGGCCUUCGGGUUGUAAACCGCUUUCGCCUGUGACGAAGCGUGAGUGACGGUAAUGGGUAAAGAAGCACCGGCUAACUACGUG
rnacentral:rRNA from 1 species